CAGAAACACUCAAACAACAGGUUAGAGUGAGUUUGUAACACAAUUCCCUCUUGUUAUUAUCAAGCUUCUUUUUCGUAUCUUCACUAUCACCAAUCCUAAGUUUCUUAAAGACAAAAGGGACUAAUAACGCAAAACCAGAAAACCCGUGAAGGAAAAUGGGCGUGAGGAGAAAAUCACUACUUGAAUAUAAUACUGAAGUCUCUGGGAAAUGAAGAAGGCGCAAGGCGCUGGUGGACGACUGCUCUCUGUAUUAUAUGGAAACCGUUAAAGGAGCAGAAAUUACAAAUCGCUCUCUCUGUAUUUUCCUUUUAUAGGAUUCUCUCUAAUCUGUCGACGUAUAAGAAUUAUAACCAUUAUAACCGGAAUGUCAGCACUUUUUUCAGG